rnacentral:rRNA from 1 species
CCUACGUGAGGCUGCAGUGAGGAAUAUUGGUCAAUGGACGAGAGUCUGAACCAGCCAUGUAGCGUGCAGGAUGACUGCCCUAUGGGUUGUAAACUUCUUUUAUAAAGGAAUAAACCGAGGCACGUGUGUCUUUUUGCAUGUACUUUAUGAAUAAGGAUCGGCUAACUCCGUGCCAGCAGCCGCGGUAAUACGGAGGAUUCGAGCGUUAUCCGGAUUUAUUGGGUUUAAAGGGAGCGUAGAUGGGUUGUUAAGUCAGUUGUGAAAGUUUGCGGCUCAACUGUAAAAUUGCAAUUGAUACUGGCAGUCUAGAGUACAGUUGAGGUAGGCGGAAUGCGUGGUGUAGCGGUGAAAUGCUUAGAGAUCACGAAGAACCCCGAUUGCGAAGGCAGCUUACUAAACUGUGACUGACAUUGAGGCUCGAAAGUGUGGGUAUCAAACAGGAUUAGAUACCCUUGUAGUC